rnacentral:lncRNA from 1 species
GUGAUCGGAACGGGUACGUGGUUGACAAUUUCGUGCUGUCUAGUUCACACGUCUGGCUGAAUUUAUCUGUUCCACCGUGUGCGCCGAUGUUAUAUACUGUAUCUCGGGAAUUUCAGUUUGAUGGAGUGUUAACACAUCUGGUGGUGAAUAAAACCCAAAAUUAUUGAUGUUCCCCGGAAUUAAGAGCCAAGAUAUGCCCGUAUCAACUCAAUGACGUCUACUGUCAGUCGAUUCGAUAUGAUAUGAUUCGAGUGGCCGACGAUCGGAAUGUCCCGCAGCUGGCCGUGGAACUCUUUUGGAAGGGCGUCCGUGGAUGCUACUGAUUAGGACGAGAGGACGCGUUUGCAACGCGUAUAUACCAUGAGCUUCCGUAAACAGCUUGUUUCAUCGAUCGUUAGGUUGUGGAUCAGUCUCACCUAACAUGAUUAGCUUUUUUAAGCCGCGUGCGUGGGUAUAACAGAUCAGGUAAAUACUGGUAUACCAGUAUAUUGGUUUGACUAUAAUUAACUUCCAAAGCAUAGGUAUACUCCUCCGUAGUAGGAGUACUAAUCUGACUCGAUCGGUACGUGUUACUCCAACUGUAUCUGUGCAAGUGCAGUGCCCGCUAAUGUCAACAUGCGAUCCACGUCCCCCUCCAUGUAGCCCAAGUUGUGACCAUGGAAAUAGUUUUCACUACGGUCCCUCGCUCUCAAGCUUGCCUUUUCUGGGUCUUGGAAUCCGAUCUUAAAGCCAAAUGACGGGAGAGAACUCCGUAAAAAAAAAACCGUUCAAAAAAAAAUGACGGGAGAGAACCAAAGUCAAAUGUAUAUUUGCGUAGCAAAGGAAAUAUUCUUCUCCCAGAUGCUUUGCGGUAGUGCUAGAUAUGCUACGAACAUCACAAGAAGCUCGAAAGCAACUUAAUUGGCUGGGGGCGCUGGGCCAGUUCAUUCACCUGCCUGUUGUUCUUUGCGAGAUCACGUAUGCACGUCCCUGUGGGUAUCCAAUUGGCAGAUUAAACAUCCGAUCGGCACAUUAUUUAUUAUCAAUUUUACGGUCUCACCCACUCCUGUUUUUAAAUUGGAGGCACAAAGAGAAAUACUCGAGUAGCUAGG